rnacentral:rRNA from 1 species
GACGAACGCUGGCGGCGUGCCUAAUACAUGCAAGUAGAACGCUGAAGAGAGGAGCUUGCUCUUCUUGGACGAGUUGCGAACGGGUGAGUAACGCGUAGGUAACCUGCCUUGUAGCGGGGGAUAACUAUUGGAAACGAUAGCUAAUACCGCAUAACAAUAGGUGACACAUGUCAUUUAUUUGAAAGGGGCAAUUGCUCCACUACAAGAUGGACCUGCGUUGUAUUAGCUAGUAGGUGAGGUAACGGCUCACCUAGGCGACGAUACAUAGCCGACCUGAGAGGGUGAUCGGCCACACUGGGACUGAGACACGGCCCAGACUCCUACGGGAGGCAGCAGUAGGGAAUCUUCGGCAAUGGGGGCAACCCUGACCGAGCAACGCCGCGUGAGUGAAGAAGGUUUUCGGAUCGUAAAGCUCUGUUGUAAGUCAAGAACGAGUGUGAGAGUGGAAAGUUCACACUGUGACGGUAGCUUACCAGAAAGGGACGGCUAACUACGUGCCAGCAGCCGCGGUAAUACGUAGGUCCCGAGCGUUGUCCGGAUUUAUUGGGCGUAAAGCGAGCGCAGGCGGUUUGAUAAGUCUGAAGUUAAAGGCUGUGGCUCAACCAUAGUUCGCUUUGGAAACUGUCAAACUUGAGUGCAGAAGGGGAGAGUGGAAUUCCAUGUGUAGCGGUGAAAUGCGUAGAUAUAUGGAGGAACACCGGUGGCGAAAGCGGCUCUCUUGGUCUGUAACUGACGCUGAGGCUCGAAAGCGUGGGGGAGCGAACAGG